UUCUGGCCACUAAUAUAUCGUUUGUUUAUCGUCAGUCUGUUCAGUCGAUCUGCGAUUGCUGUUAAUUUCUCAAACUGAUCGAGACAGGCUGCUAUUGAUUCUACAAGAAGCGUAAAAUUCUUCAUCGCCGUAGUUCUUGCUCGUUGAGCUUUCAUUAUUUGAUUUCAUUAACGGAAAUGAAAUGAUGUUUAACGUCCUACUAUUCUUGCUCAGACAUGGGCUAAUAAAGACGGGCAUAUACAAUGUGCUAUGAGGCUAAUUUUGCCCAGACCGCGGCGCUACCACCUGCUCUGUCAAGGGAUCUUUUACGUGCACGCCAAUGUGUACACGGUAUCUCGUUUAUAGUCGUCCCAUCUGCGAACCAAAACUACGCCUUAAUAUCCAGCUGAACGUUUUCGGGCAACACUGGGAGCGAACCCACGACCUCCAAGCUAACGAGCCAGCGCCUUACUCACUUAGCUACCAUGGCUCCGAGUUCAUUGACGGUGCUGCUGUGGCACAGUGAGUGGAUGUGGUGGUUUGCUAACUAGGUCUCAGAUCGCCCCCCGGGGAUUGCCCAGAAAGUUUUUCCGCAAAGUUUUCCGUCUAAUUGUUCGGGUAGGUAAAGAAAACCGUGAUUCCGUGUACUUGAUGGCCUGCACGUAAAAGAACCCUUAGCUAUAGGAAAUCGAAAUAAGAGUAGGCAGUAGCCCGACUGUCCUGUCUAAAUUGUCAUCAAAAUUCACAGUAUGACGUGUCAGCAUUAGGUACAGAACAGUAGGACGUUAAAACCACAUUUCAUUUCAAUGUGGAUUUGAAAAAGAACUAUAUGCUUUGUCAGGAUGGCUCCACUCCCUCCCCAAUACAAGAUGUAAUAUUACAAAUGAACCUUAAUUUUGGGUGGAAACUUUAGAUUUAUUUUAGCGAUUUAAAAUAAAAAUCAGAAUCUAUGAUUUUAUUUCUGACAGCUAUAAGCGUACCUGACGUACAUACAGUUUAAUUUUGUUUCUAACAGCUAUAAUCUUACAUACAUUUUAAAAUUGCCGAUACGCCGUAGACAUAUUAUUUGUACAGAGCGGCUUUGCAUACAAAGUUCAAGAUUCGACUUUGAAAAGCUAAAUGGUUCAGUAAUACAAUCCGUGAGAAAGUCGGAAUCAACCAUCACCAUAGCCACCAGCAACGCCACUGAAAUUCUGUCUCUCAUCGGACUGGCACACAAAAUUGUAGAUAUUCUUGAUCUAAGUCACAUUUUUGUCUUUUCGCAUAAAAUACAAACAGACUUUUGGACGAGAAUGUUUGUCGCGAACAGAACAACGAGUAGGUUUAUUACAACUUCAAAAUGAUGUUUAAAAUACGAAUCAUAAUUACCAGUACAACUGACUUCGACUUUUCAGGCAAAUUAAGGUUAAAUAAAGGGUACGAUGGACUUGUAUUUUUCCUGGAGGUCGUUUCAGUCAGUAGAUAUCCUUUUGCGAACGUUUAUAAACUUUAUUUUGAGCUGACAUGUCCACACAAAGGAAAUUGACUAUUUCUUUACUUCCCACCAUAAGGUUUUGUAUAUUUGAAGCCAAUUAAGCAAUACAGGUCUCUGCUUACUCCACCAACAAGAAAAUAUAAUGGCAUAGAGGUAGAAAUUACACGUCAAUUCGGCACUGUUCGUGCUCUGGGUUGCUGGUUGGCCGAAUGGUUAAUGCGUGCGCGAUGGAUCAUAAGGUCUGUCAUUGAGUCAAGUAGUGUGGUUUCGAUUCCACGCUUUUAAGUGACAAGGAGUAGGGUCGUCUGUCCAGCAUCGUGGGUUUCUCCCACUGCUAAGCGAGAUCUUGUAAUGCAAUUGAAACAUAUGUUAGUCGCGCAAAGAUCUAGCUUGCGUCGAGUGGAUGUUAAACCCCACCAUCUAUAUCUCUCUCUCCUCCCUCUCUCUCUCUCUCUCUCUCUCUCGGCUAAUUACCCGAAAUCACAUAAGUUCCCAUUCGCCUCCCGUACGUAAUCGUCUAAUAUAACAAAAGUAAAUUAAGUAAAAAUGGACCGUAACGAUUGAUCGAAAUCGAGUGCACCUAAAGAUUCUUUGGCACUGGGUAUUCUUAGAGGAUUGGACAGAAAUGCCGCUGACGUGUCUGGUGAUAGUUCAAAUUUAAAGUGUGUGGUGAUAGUUCAAAUUUAACUUAUUAAUUUGUUGUACUUCAGUGUAACAGAUGGACCCAAUUCUAUGAUCUUGACAACCCGUCCGGCUAUGGUGAUCAGGAACCCUUGGACAGUCUUCGAACGGCAAGACCCUAUGAUAAUAUCUGUGCAAGACCAGCUACCUUGAAAUAUGAAACCGUAUCUACAAAAGCGUGUAUCAACACAGGAGAAGUGAUUACAGCAUCACCGAUCGAGGGUUUCGCAUGUGUUAAUGCUCGUCAACCCGAUCAAAGGUGUGACGAUUACAAAGUUCGAUACUGCUGUCUAGACGCCCAAGUCACAUGUCCGAACGGAUAUGAAUGGACCUACUUCUACGACCGUGACAACCCCUCAGGCACAGGUGAUUGGGAAUUAUUGGGGCAGCUACGAAAAGAAAAUCCAAAUGAGAUUUGUGAAAAACCAUUCGCCAUAGAUGUCCGUCGUCGAAGCAAUGGCCGCGACUUUAGAACAUGCGGCGAGAACGUCACUGUCUCUCCAUCGUACGGAUUUCUCUGCCUAGCUCGAAACCAGUAUGAUCACUAUUGUGAAGAUUACAAAGUUCGAUUCUGUUGUCCUUGUAAUGAAUAAAUAUCUAAAUGGAUAACAUGAAAGAAUAAAAAUAUUGCACAAUUA